rnacentral:rRNA from 1 species
UACGUAGGGUGCAAGCGUUGUCCGGAAUUAUUGGGCGUAAAGAGCUCGUAGGCGGUCUGUCACGUCGGCUGUGAAAUCCCGAGGCUCAACUGAGGAAGUGCGCCCGAAACUGCAGAGCUUGAGUACCGGAGAGGAUGGUGGAAUUCCCCAAGUAGAGGUGAAAUUCGUAGAUAUGGGGAGGAACACCGGUGGCGAAGGCGGCUCACUGGCUCAUUUCUGACGCUCAGGCGCGACAGCGUGGGGAGCAAACAGG